UAUGAAGGAUAACAGUGAAGGAUAAAGGUAUCCCAAAACAGGCGAAACUCCAGUUUAAUGUCGCUGUCCUAACAAGCAAGAUAGUUAUUGCCACGACUGAAAAACAAACUCGACGUAGGAAGAAACAAAGACAUCAAAUAAGCCUUAAACAUGUGCUCUAAGCAUUUAUUUCUCCAUCUGAGAUUCUUUGAUACAGGUGAGCUCAGAAAUACCAUAUUUGAAGAUUUUCUGUUGUGCCACUGGCAAAAUGUCACUGCACGUAGGUGCCAUCUUAGAAGAGGAUGUCUGCAAUAUAUCGAUGUAUCGCAGAGAAGAGUGGUGCCGGAGAUGACAGUUUUGUGCAGAUGGAUCUGGGAUAUUCCUGCAAGACCUUGCACAAUGCCACACAUCAGAGAUGGCAACUCAAUUUUUCCAGCUGAAGAGGGUAGGAGUCUUGGACUGGCCCAGUAACUCGCCUGACCUGAAUCCGAUUGACAAUUUGUGGACAAUUAUCAAGGAGAGACUGAGAGGGCUGUAUCAUGAGACAGAUGCUCAAAGUGGCAUUAAUUCAGCUGUGGUAUCGAGAUGAAAAACAUUCUUGGAAACUGUCUGAAUCCUGUUGUUUCCAUGCCAAAUGAUGUCAAGAAAUUGAUAAAGAUCUAUGAUAGACAUAUAAUGUACUAAAUACAUAAUGGUGCAAUGAUAAUGAAUAAAAGCUAGCCCUGCAACAUG